CCCAUGCCACUAUGCUAUCUCUAACUCUGCCAUCGAGACCGAGCAAACGCACUUAAGACCUUUGUGUAAGAUCAGAAACUCAUAAGACAGCAUUAAAAAGUACUAUACAGGAGGAGAUGGAAUAAGAUGGCCAAAUAGAAGCCUCUGGCAAUCAUCUCCCCCAAAGGAAUUGAACAACUAUCGAAACAAAAUUGAACAACUCUCUAAACAAAAAAAGUACCUUCAUAAAAAACAAAAAUCAGGACAAUAUCAGAAUGGCACAUACCGGUGUCCCCAAGUCAUAUUUGGAAUAAGAUCACUUGGGAACACAUGUCAAAGAAGGACACAGUGUUCUGCCUCUCCUGAGUAAGCAGCAACAAGGCACAAUCUUGGAAUCAGAGGGCAGCCCUCACCAGACAACUAAAUCUGCAGACACCUUGAUCUUGGACUUCCCAGCCUCCAGAACUGAUUUUAAUGCCUUUUGUAAAGACCUGCCUAAUGGUUCUGCCUUCAGUGCAGACAAUAUGGAAGAGUGUGACAGAUGUUAUCAUUGCUCCAUUGUGUACGAGCGUAGGACGAAGCUUCUCUUCUGUCAGCCUGCAACU
rnacentral:sRNA from 1 species